AAAAACAUUGCCUUUUGAAUUUAUUUAAGGUAAAUUCUGCCCAAUGCAACUGUUAAUGGCCGCAGUAUCUUGACUGUGCGAAGGUAGACUGAUAAGUUGCCCUUUAAUAUAGGGAUCUCACAAACGGAUAAACGAGAUACAGACUGUCUCAGAAAAGCAUAACGAAUAUGACAACAAAGUGAAGAGGCUUUUAUAGUUUUGUGGGACGAGUAGACCCUACAGCGCUUUACUUUAUUAAGUUUGGUUGGGGCGACAUUGGAAAAUCAAAAUCUUCCAAAUUGUUUUUAGCUGGUAAGCUUUAGAUCCGGGGAUCCGAAUUUAGCACAAGCAACCUUAGGGAUAACAGGCCGUUCUUCUUAGAGAGCUCUUAUUGAUAAGAAGGCUGGGCACCUCGAUGUUGGCUCGGGCGUGCUACUUGGUGCAGAAGCUAAGUAAAGCGGGUUUGCUAGACCCUUAAUAGCCCACGUGAUCUGAGU
rnacentral:rRNA from 1 species